GGAAGUAAAAGUCGUAACAAGAUCUCCGUUGGUGAACCAGCGGAGGGAUCAUUACAGAGUUGCAAAACUCCCAAACCAUUGUGAACGUUACCUAUCCCGUUGCUUCGGCGGGCGGCCCGGGCACCGCGCCCGGCGCCCCCCGGCCCCCCGUGGGCGCCCGCCGGAGGUAAACCAAACCCUUGAAUUGCAUGGCCUCUCUGAGUCUUCUGUACUGAAUAAGUCAAAACUUUCAACAACGGAUCUCUUGGUUCUG
rnacentral:misc_RNA from 1 species